rnacentral:rRNA from 1 species
UACGUAGGGGGCAAGCGUUGUCCGGAAUUAUUGGGCGUAAAGAGCGUGUAGGCGGUCCGGUAAGUCAGCUGUGAAAGUCAAGGGCUCAACCCCUUGAAUGCCGGUUGAUACUGUCGGGCUAGAGUCCGGAAGAGGCGAGUGGAAUUCCCGGUGUAGCGGUGAAAUGCGCAGAUAUCGGGAGGAACACCAGUGGCGAAGGCGGCUCGCUGGGCCGGACCUGACGCUGAGACGCGAAGGCGUGGGGAGCGAACGGG